UACGUAGGGGGCAAGCGUUGUCCGGAAUCAUUGGGCGUAAAGCGCGUGUAGGCGGUUCGAUAAGUCUGCUGUGAAAGUCCAGGGCUCAACCCUGGGAUGCCGGUGGAUACUGUCGGACUAGAGUACGGAAGAGGCGAGUGGAAUUCCCGGUGUAGCGGUGAAAUGCGCAGAUAUCAGGAGGAACACCAGUGGCGAAGGCGCCGCUCUGGGCCGUGACUGACGCUGAGGAGCGAAAGCGUGGGUAGCAAACAGG
rnacentral:rRNA from 1 species